CAGAGCCGAAGCUUGGCUUUGGCUGAGGAGCUGUGAGAGUGUGAGGCUCUGCAUUUUGUGCACCUUUGAGAGAUCGUCUUCCUCUGAGGAAUUUCAUUGCAUCUAAUCAAUUGUGCUGCUGGACUUAUUUCUUAACAGGUUCCGAAGUUCCUGAAGAUCACUGAGUCCGUUCGGCAGGUGGUCUACAGAGGAUUCAGCUGGUAUCUUUCCUUGGUGUACACAGUACUAGGAUAACUCAACCGGCUGGCUUGUCAAUUUGCCAGCUGUGGUGGUGGGACUAAAGGAAGAGGAUUUCACUUAGAAGCAAAUUCUGGCUCUUGAAAGAUUUCCUGGCAGGAUGAGGCAUCUGAGAGGGAAACUGAAGAAGGAGAGCGCAAGAGAAAAGAGGGAACGGAGAAAGUCAAUGAUGGAGGCCCGGCGACAGGUCACCACUGUGGUGCUACCCACAAUGGUUAUCCUGAUUCUCUUUGUUGUAAUUCUUAUCUACAUAGUGACCCGUCCUCCCUCCCAAAAGUGCUCUGUGGCAAAUAACAAAACUUGAAAGAAUGUACCAGGAGAAUUUGAGAUAUUAUAAACCUUCAGGGGCUACUCAUUGAUUAGCAUUUCCCAAGUCUGUAUGAAAUGAAAUAAAAGAUGUAUUC